rnacentral:rRNA from 1 species
GACGAACGCUGGCGGCGUGCUUAACACAUGCAAGUCGAACGGAAAGGCCCUGCUUUUGUGGGGUGCUCGAGUGGCGAACGGGUGAGUAACACGUGAGUAACCUGCCCUUGACUUUGGGAUAACUUCAGGAAACUGGGGCUAAUACCGGAUAGGAGCUCCUGCUGCAUGGUGGGGGUUGGAAAGUUUCGGCGGUUGGGGAUGGACUCGCGGCUUAUCAGCUUGUUGGUGGGGUAGUGGCUUACCAAGGCUUUGACGGGUAGCCGGCCUGAGAAGGUGACCGGCGACAAUAGGACUGAGAGAGGGCCCAGACGCCUACGGGAGGCAGCGGUGGAGAAUAUUGCACAGUGGGCGGAAGCCUGAGGCAGCAACGCCGCGUGCGGGAUGACGGCCUUCGGGUUGUGAACCGCUUUCGCCUGUGACGAAGCGUGAGUGACGGUAAUGGGUAAAGAAGCACCGGCUAACUACGUG